rnacentral:rRNA from 1 species
UACGUAGGUGGCAAGCGUUGUCCGGAUUUACUGGGCGUAAAGGGUGUGUAGGUGGCGCGCUAAGUCGGGUGUGAAAUUUCGGAGCUUAACUCCGAAACUGCAUUCGAUACUGGCGUGCUUGAGGACUGGAGAGGAGACUGGAAUUCAUGGUGUAGCAGUGAAAUGCGUAGAGAUCGUGAGGAAGACCAGUGGCGAAGGCGGGUCUCUGGACAGUUCCUGACACUGAGACACGAAGGCCAGGGGAGCAAACGGG